rnacentral:rRNA from 1 species
AUUGAACGCUGGCGGCAUGCUUUACACAUGCAAGUCGAACGGUAACAGGCCGCAAGGUGCUGACGAGUGGCGAACGGGUGCGUAAUGCAUCGGAACGUGCCCAGUCGUGGGGGAUAACUACUCUAAAGAGUAGCUAAUACCACAUACGAUCUAUGGAUGAAAGCGGGGGACCGUAAGGCCUCGCUCGAUUGGAGGGGCCGAUGGCAGAUUAGGUAGUUGGUGGGGUAAAGGCUCACCAAGCCAACGAUCUGUAGCUGUUCUGAGAGGACGACAAGCCACACUGGGACUGAGACACGGCCCAGACUCCUACGGGAGGCAGCAGUGGGGAAUUUUGGACAAUGGGCGCAAGCCUGAUCCAGCAAUGCCGCGUGCAGGAAGAAGGCCUUCGGGUUGUAAACUGCUUUUGUACGGAACGAAACGGCUCUGGUUAAUACCCGGGGCUAAUGACGGUACCGUAAGAAUAAGCACCGGCUAACUACGUG